rnacentral:rRNA from 1 species
GGUUCGAUUCUGGCUCAGAUUGAACGCUGGCGGGAUGCUUUACACAUGCAAGUCGAACGGCACGGACUUCGGUCUGGUGGCGAGUGGGCGAACGGGCAGGCCGUAUCGGAACGCCUAGUAGCGGGGAUAACUACGAAAGCGUAGCUAAUACCGCAUACCGCCCUUCGGGGGAAAGCGGGGGACCUUCGGCCGCGAAUUAUUAGAGCGGCCGAUAUCGGAUUAGCUAGUUGCGGGGUAACGGCUCACCAAGGCGACGAUCCGUAGCUGGUUUGAGAGGACGACCAGCCACACUGGGACUGAGACACGGCCCAGACUCCUACGGGAGGCAGCAGGGAAUUUUUGACAAAUGGGGAAACUUCUGAUCCAGCCAUCCCGCGUGUGCGAUGAAGGCCUUCGGGUUGUAAAAAGCACUUUUGGCAGGAAAGAAACGGCACGGGAUAAUACCCCGUGCAACUGACGGUACCUGCAGAAUAAGCACCGGCUAACUACGUGCCAGCAGCCGCGGUAAUACGUAGGGUGCAAGCGUUAAUCGGAAUUACUGGGCGUAAAGCGUGUGCAGGCGGUUCGAAAGAAAGAUGCAGAAAUCCCAGAGCUUAACUUUGGAACUGCAUUUUUAACUACCGAGCUAGAGUGUGUCAGAGGGAGGUGGAAUUCGCGUAGCAGUGAAAUGCGUAGAUAUGCGGAGGAACACCGAUGGCGAAGGCAGCCUCCUGGGAUAACACUGACGCUCAUGCACGAAAGCGUGGGGAGCAACAGGAUGAUAUUCUGGUAGUCCUACGCCUAAACGAUGUCAACUAGCUGUUGGGGCCUUCUGGCCUUGGUAGCGCAGCUAACGCGUGAAGCUGACCCGCCUGGGGAGUACGGUCGCAAGAUUAAAACUCAAAGGAAUUGACGGGGACCCGCACAAGCGGUGUGGAUGAUGUAUUUAAUUCGGAUGCAACGCGAAAAACCUUUACCUACCCUUGACAUGUCUGAAUCCCGAAGAGAUUUGGGAGUGCUCGCAAGAGAACCGGAACACAGGUGCUGCAUGGCUGUCGUCAGCUCGUGUCGUGAGAUGUUGGGUUAAGUCCCGCAACGAGCGCAACCCUUGUCAUUAGUUGCUACGAAAGGGCACUCUAAUGACUGCCGGUGACAAACCGGAGGAAGGUGGGGAUGACGUCAAGUCCUCAUGGCCCUUAUGGGUAGGGCUUCACACGUCAUACAAUGGUCGGGACAGAGGGUCGCCAACCCGCGAGGGGGAGCCAAUCCCCAGAAACCCGAUCGUAGUCCGAUCGCAGUCUGCAACUCGACUGCGUGAAGUCGGAAUCGCUAGUAAUCGCGGAUCAGCAUGUCGCGGUGAAUACGUUCCCGGUCUUGUACACACCGCCUCGUCACACCAUGGGAGUGGGUUUACCAGAAGUAGUUAGCCUAACCGUAAGGAGGGCGAUUACCACGGUAGGAUUCAUGACUGGGGUGAAGUCGUAACAAGGUAG